CCAAGGAGUCUAACAUGUGCGCGAGUCAUUGAGUCAAUUUUAAGCUUAAAGGCGUAAUGAAAGUAAAGGUCGUCCUUAGCGUCGACCGAGGGAGGAUGGCUGACGUUACGAUGUUAGCUCGCACUCCCGGGGCAUCUCGUGUUCAUUGCGAACAGAGGUGCACCCAGAGCGCACACGUUGGGACCCGAAAGAUGGUGAACUAUGCCUGGUCAGGACGAAGUCAGGGGAAACCCUGAUGGAGGUCCGUAGCGAUUCUGACGUGCAAAUCGAUCGUCGGAACUGGGUAUAGGGGCGAAAGACUAAUCGAACCAUC
rnacentral:rRNA from 1 species